rnacentral:lncRNA from 1 species
GUUUUGCGCAGGCAGCAUACAACUUCUUGAGCAUCUAACUUCGGUGCUUCAUUUGCACAUAUUAUUUAUAACCAUCUCAUCACAUUCUUCAUUUUCAAUUUUUACUUGUUGAGACCCUUUAUUUCUUACAUGGACAUUCAUAUUUGUCAUUGUUCAUCGAUUAAUUAGUUUCAAAGCAUGCUUAUAUGAACUUUCAGAAAGAGACAAUUCUUAGAAGUAUAUUUCAAAGCAUGUCAUAUG